rnacentral:rRNA from 1 species
GCAAGUCGUACGAGAGUUUUUAACUCAAGUGCGGACGGGUGAGUAACACGUAAGAAUUUGCCUCUAGGAGGGGGACAACAACUGGAAACGGUUGCUAAUACCCCAUAUGCUUUCGAGUGAAAUGGGUUUCCGCCUAGAGAGAAGCUUGCGGCUGAUUAGCUUGUUGGUGAGGUAAUGGCUCACCAAGGCGACGAUCAGUAUCUGGUUUGAGAGGACGAUCAGACACACUGGAACUGAGACACGGUCCAGACUCCUACGGGAGGCAGCAGUGGGGAAUUUUCCGCAAUGGGCGAAAGCCUGACGGAGCAAUACCGCGUGAGGGAUGACGGCCUAUGGGUUGUAAACCUCUUUUUUCAGGGAGGAAUCAAUGACGUGUACCUGAAGAAUAAGCAU